UAAAUUUUAUAGGAUAUUUAUGUUUAGUAACCAGUAAUUCAGAGAUUGGUAUUCAUGGUUACUAUAACGAGGCUGUAGAAACGCACCCUUUCUUCUUUGCAAAUGGUCCUGUAUUUAUGUCUAAGCCGAAACUGGAACCUCUGAAUAAUUUAGAUUUAUUCUUGUUAUUUUCUAAAAUACUUAUCUACAGUAUACCAUAAGGAAUGAUACCGUAUCGCACCUAAUCAAGUGCCUUAAGAAACAUCAACAGGAUAUCACAGUAAUCCCUUAUCGACUGAUAUUUGUAGCCACUACAAUAUCUAUGACACUGGUAGUAAUUAUAAGAACAAUAAUGAUGUUCUAUAAGAGGAAAUGAUGAUUAGGAACAAAAACUUACAGGAGAUAUCAUGCGGUGGAUGGAUAAUAUGUAAAAAAUAUUAAGCAGUAUAUGAAUUUUCAUAUUGCGUAGAGAUAACAAAAUGAAUUUUAAAAAAUGUCGACAUGGUAAUAAGAAAUAGCAU